rnacentral:rRNA from 2 species
GGCUUAACACAUGCAAGUCGAACGGAGGACGGAGCUUGCUCCUGAUCAGCGGGGAACAGGAGUAAUGCUAGGAAUUGCCUGGUAGUGGGGACAACGGUUCGAAAGGAACGCUAUACCGCAAUACGUCUACGGAGAAAGCAGGGACCUUCGGGCCUGCGGCUAUCAGAUGAGCCUAGGUCGGAUUAGCUAGUGGUGGGGUAAUGGCUCACCAAGGCGACGAUCCGUAACUGGUCUGAGAGGAUGAUCAGUCACACUGAACUGAGACACGGUCCAGACUCCUACGGGAGGCAGCAGUGGGGAAUAUUGGACAAUGGGCGAAAGCAUGAUCCAGCCAUGCCGCGUGUGUGAAGAAGGUCUUCGGAUUGUAAAGCACUUUAAGUUGGGAGGAAGGGCAGUAAGUUAAUACCUUGCUGUUUUGACGUUACCGACAGAAUAAGCACCGGCUAACUCUGUGCCAGCAGCCGCGGUAAUACAGAGGGUGCAAGCGUUAAUCGGAAUUACUGGGCGUAAAGCGCGCGUAGGUGGUUUGUUAAGUUGGAUGUGAAAGCCCCGGGCUCAACCUGGGAACUGCAUCCAAAACUGGCAAGCUAGAGUACGGUAGAGGGUGGUGGAAUUUCCUGUGUAGCGGUGAAAUGCGUAGAUAUAGGAAGGAACACCAGUGGCGAAGGCGACCACCUGGACUGAUACUGACACUGAGGUGCGAAAGCGUGGGGAGCAAACAGGAUUAGAUACCCUGGUAGUCCACGCCGUAAACGAUGUCAACUAGCCGUUGGAAUCCAAUGAGAUUUUAGUGGCGCAGCUAACGCAUUAAGUGACCGCCUGGGAGUACGCCGCCAAAUU